rnacentral:rRNA from 1 species
UACGGAGGAUGCAAGCGUUAUCCGGAAUUAUUGGGCGUAAAGCGUCCGCAGGUGGCUGUGUAAGUCUGCUGUCAAAGAGCGAAGCUCAACUUCGUAAAGGCAGUGGAAACUACACGGCUAGAGUGCGGUCGGGGCAGAGGGAAUUCCUGGUGUAGCGGUGAAAUGCGUAGAGAUCAGGAAGAACACCGGUGGCGAAGGCGCUCUGCUGGGCCGCAACUGACACUGAGGGACGAAAGCUAGGGGAGCGAAUGGG